CAGAAUGAUGAAGAGCCUCUUUGCCGAUAGAGUCCGAAAGAGAAUUUUCCAAUCUAGGGAUAUGAGAGAAAGAUAGAGAGGUGAAUCCAGAUGAGAUUGAUUGUAUAUCGCUGAUGAUUCCAAUCAACUCUUUUCUCUGGAUCCUGCCGUUGAUUGCUCCGAUGAGCGUUGUACUGUCUGAGAAGACGUUGAGGUUGAUGAAGCCUAGCUCCUUAGCCGCUUAUAUGGCUGCUCGCACUGCUAAAGCUUCUGCAACUAGAGGGGAUGAGAUGAACUCUUGUGUGGAGGAUCCUAUUAUCGUCCUGGAUACUUGGGGACCUGAAAAGUUCCAUGCUAACCCUGCCUUGUUCCUCGUCUUGUUCCAGGCUGCGUCUGUUUUGCAUGAGAUCGAGUUAUUCCUGAGGGGAACCGUUGUCGAUCUGUUGUUCUUGUUGUUCUUCGUUAGAGCUCUUCCAGUUUCCUCAGGUGUGAUCUCCUUUGAGUCGAAGAUAAGGGCGUUUCGUGAUGUCCAAAGAAACCAGAGAACCCAAGGAAGGAUGGAGCCCACGAUCCCAGUUGGCAGUAAACAGACGGCAUCCUUAAAGCGCAACAGUGCCUCUUUGAAAUCCAUACCUGCAGCUAUGUGAACUGCAUUUCUUAGCGGUUUUCCCCCAAGGGAAGCGCAUUGUUGAUGAUGGACCAGAAGAAGAGUCUCAGUUUCGAGAAAUAACCCGAUCGUGUGGAGUAGGUUCCUGUUGGUAGGGGUUGCCAAAUAAAUCUGUCUUCCAUUCCGCUUCUACUCGGAUGUAGGCUCAUGAUCUUUGUUGAAAGCUCAGAGACUUAUUGGGAUUUGGAAACAGCUCAUUGUGUACGUUGGUAUCGCUUGGAGUACUGCUUUUAGUAGAGUUAACUUCCCUGCUCUACUGAGGAAGCGUGUUGAGCAGCUCAGGGAUCUUUGGCGUAUGCGGUCCACAAUAGAGGAUCGCUUUUGCUGUAGUCUUGACUUCCUCCGGGGUUUUUGAAUAGAAGCUCUUGCUACUCUGAUCCCUUGGAGUGUUCCAUCUCUCUCAGCCUUUCUACAUAGUCCUGUCAAGACCUCUCCACACAGAAUGAAGAUAUAGGGCGACAGUGGAUCUCCUUGGCGAAUUCCUCGGUGAGGUAUUACAUUGCCAUAAACUGAAUCAUUCACUAGAUAGGAGUAUGAUACCGUUGUUAUACACUGCAUGAUCCAGUUUAUCCAACUAGCAUCGAACCCUAGCCGUUUUAGGACUGUAGAUAUAAAGUGUCAUUCAACCCGAUCGUACGCCUUGGACAUAUCAGUCUUCACUGCCAUUGUGCAUUUCUUCUCUGCUUUCGAGUUCUUUAGAAAAUGUAGCACUUCGUGAGUAAUAAGUACGUUGUCUGAAAUCGUACGUCCUGGGAUGAAAGCUGAUUGAUUCUCAGAAAUGAUAGAUGCUAGAACCGGUUUGAGCCUUAAAGAUAGUAGCUUUGAAAUAAUCUUGUAGUAGACAUUGCAUAAUGCAAUAGGUCUGUACUCCUCUAUUCUCUUUGCUGUUGUUAUUUUGGGAAUCAGUCUGACCACUGUUUUGUUGAUUGACUGUGCGAGGGUCCCUGUGAUGAAGAAGCUUCUGAUUUCCUCUACAACUGCUGGCCCUACCGUCUCCCAGUUGGCUUUAAAGAAACAGGCUGAGAAGCCGUCUGGCCCCGGUGCCUUGUCAGGGUGGAUAGCUAAAGUAGCUUCUUUGAUCUCCUGAGCUGAUGGGAUAGCCCUCAGCUUCUCGUUUUGGUCACGAGAUACACAGGGCUUCAGUGCUUUUGCUACCGUCUGUGAGCUGUCAAAAUUUGUGGCCGUGAAGAGGGUAGAGUAGUAGUUGCAAAUAACCUCAGAGAUUUGUUCUUCCUCAUAAAAAGAAAUUCUCUUCAGCUUUAUACAGAUGGAGUAGUUUUUUAUUGAUCUCUCGAAUAAGGUCCUCAUCUGCUGUUGGGGCUGACAUAGCCUCCUCCAGAUUAUGUUUUAAAACUUCCAAGGCCUUGCUGCUAUUCUCAUGGUGCUCUUUACUCCAUACGCAAAUGGAUUUUCUGCAUUUUGCCAGUCUGUGUUCCACCUGAAGUAUCGAGGAAGGAGAGGAGCGGUCUGUGAUCCGAGCCUUCGAAUCUGAGAUACUGACUUCUACAGGCUGGAUACAGUUCUGUCCACUCACUAUUACUGAUAGCUCUGUCCAGGCGGCACCGCACCAGAUGUUAGGAAUAAACCACCUCCACCAUUCUGUUGUGGGGGUACCGCAAGGUAGUUGUCAGAGUUGAACCACUGGAGCUCUUUACGAAUCAUCUCCGUGGGGUUUUUGGUCUCGCAUAGGAAUAUAAUGUCAGGAGCAUUCUUCUUCUGAAUCUCCUUCAGCCGCUGGACUGUUGUGGGAUUCCCCAAACCGCAACAGUUCCAGCUCAGUACUACUAAGGACCCGGGCGUGGAGAGGCCCGAAAAUCCGGGUUCCUCUUCUUGAUUGCUGGAAUAAGCUAGACAGGUGGGUUCGUGUGAGAGGAGGCUGCCCCAUUUGAGUUGGUAUAUGCUUGAGCUGAUCUUUGCUUAGCUAUGAUGGGUGCAUUUCUCUCUGAGGGACCCGCCUCCAUACUAGCGCAGGGGACUUCGUCUUGCAGCUCUGGCGGAUCUUCUUCUUAUUUUAAUUAAGGUCUCUCACUUGUGUCUCCCGGAUUAUCUUGUUCCACCAUCUGCGGCUGUUCAUUGCAAAGUCUCUCCAGAGCCACUUCCUCUUCUACCCUGGAAGGGGUGCUGUAUAAAGCCAAAGGGUCUGGGAGGAGGGCUGCUCGCAUUACUUCUUUCUUUGGUUAUGUAUUUCACAAUGUAUUCCCUCCUCGUGUAUGAUAUAGAAUUUCAGUUGACCAAAAAAAAAGAUCAUUUUACGUA